GAUGAAGAACGUAGCGAAAUGCGAUAAGUAAUGUGAAUUGCAGAAUUCAGUGAAUCAUCGAAUCUUUGAACGCACAUUGCGCCCGCCAGUAUUCUGGCGGGCAUGCCUGUUCGAGCGUCAUUACAACCCUCAGGCCCCCGGGCCUGGCGUUGGGGAUCGGCGGAGCCCCCCGUGGGCACACGCCGUCCCCCAAAUACAGUGGCGGUCCUGCCGCAGCUUCCAUCGCGUAGUAGCUAACACCUCGCGACUGGAGAGCGGCGCGGCCACGCCGUAAAACACCCAACUCUUCUGAAGUUGACCUCGAAUCAGGUAGGAAUACCCGCUGAACUUAAGCAUAUCAAUAAGCGGAGA
rnacentral:misc_RNA from 1 species